rnacentral:rRNA from 1 species
GAUGAACGCUGACAGAAUGCUUAACACAUGCAAGUCUUUGGCGAAGCUGUGCUUGCACAGCCUAGCCAAGGCGGACGGGUGAGUAACGCGUAAGGAACUUGCCCUGCAGUCAGGGAUAACAGACGGAAACGACUGAUAAGACCUGGUAAAGUCAGGCGGACUCAUGUCCAGCCUGAUGAAAAGAGAUGCUGCAGGAGAGCCUUGCGUCCUAUUAGCUUGUUGGUGGGGUAACGGCCCACCAAGGCGAUGAUAGGUAGCCGGCCUGAGAGGGUGGACGGCCACAAGGGGAGUGAGAUACGGCCCUUACUCCUACGGGAGGCAGCAGUGGGGAAUAUUGGACAAUGGGGGCAACCCUGAUCCAGCAAUUCUGUGUGCACGAUGAAGGUUUUCGGAUUGUAAAGUGCUUUCAGCAGGGAAGAAAAAAAUGACGGUACCUGCAGAAGAAGCGACGGCUAAAUACGUG